rnacentral:sRNA from 1 species
GUUGCUUUAGCAACGGCCCGAAGGGCGAGGCGAAGCCGAGUCAUCCUGCACGACCCACCA